rnacentral:miRNA from 1 species
GCCCCACCCCGUCUCCCUGACCGC